UACGGAGGGGACUAGCGUUGUUCGGAAUUACUGGGCGUAAAGCGCACGUAGGCGGCUUUGCAAGUCAGAGGUGAAAGCCCGGGGCUCAACCCCGGAAUUGCCUUUGAGACUGCAUCGCUAGAAUUGUGGAGAGGUAAGUGGAAUUCCGAGUGUAGAGGUGAAAUUCGUAGAUAUUCGGAAGAACACCAGUGGCGAAGGCGACUUACUGGACACAUAUUGACGCUGAGGUGCGAAAGCGUGGGGAGCAAACAGG
rnacentral:rRNA from 1 species